GAGAAAUCAGAUACAGGGUGGAUCAAAGUCAAAAUAUUCUUUUUAAGAGAAUUUCUAGGGAUUAACUUCCUUUCCUUUCUUUUUUUUUUUCUUUUUUCUUUUUCUUUUUUCAGAUUCUAAAAGAAUAAUCCUGAAGAGAGCACAAAAAGGUUUAAUUGAUUUUUAAUAUCAUUCAGCAAAUGUUUUCUUUAAAUCACUUAGAUAUUUCUGAUUCUAUCUGAUAUUUCGACGUUUUCAUAUAAUUCUUUAUCAUGAAUUUUCAGGGUAAGGGUAGAAGAACAGAGUGUAGGGGAGAGAGAAAUAAAGAAAGAAAGAAAAACCCUCAAGAAAAAAAAAGAAGAUUACAAAAGAUAGAGACUGUGAAGGAAACAAAGAGAGAAAGAGAAAGAAAAAAGAAAGAAAAAAAGGAAGGAUGAUCGAUCAUGUCCUCCUCCUCCUCCUCCUUCUCUUUCUCCUUCUCUUUUGCACUUCAAUCUCCGUUCCAAGCGAAGUAUAGUAAGCCGGAAAUGACCUCGAUUCCGGGAGUGAAUCGGUACACCGUGAGAGCAGUCGAAGCAUGAACUGGUUUGGAAGUGGACACAAACGUUUCUUAAACUUAUGUACGUAAGUAAGUACCUACAGAUGUAUGCAUGUAUAUAUAUAUAUAUGUAUGUGCAUAUAUAUAUAUACAUUCGAAUUGCAACAUGCAUUUUUACCGCUUCCUCCACGAAGUAGAGAAUGGAAACGAAAUGAGCAGUCUCUCUGUAUUACUCUCAAUGUUCUCUUUUUUUCAGCUAUAUUAUUACUACUAUUAUUGGUUUGGGACACGUUCGAACGAAAAUAUUGCGUGUGUAUUGUAUCAGAAGAGGAAAAAAAGAAAGGGGAAAGAAAGGAGGAAAGAAAAGAAAAUGAAUGAAAGAGAAACGGACAACUUGAGAAGGUUCAUGUAAGAGAGUUCACUGAAAGAAGAAGAAGAAGAAAAAAAGAAAACGAAAGAAGAAAAAGGAAUAAACGAAAAUGCCACAUUACGCGGUUCAAAUUUUUUUUUGCCUGAAGGAAGAUAUGAUUAAAGGGUUCAUUAAAUACCUUUUAAAGAAAGUAGCCAUUUCGUGGAAUUGAAAUUUCUUUGAUAGUAACAAAACACAUUGAACGGAGUCCUGUUAACGACAAUUAAAAAUCGAGUUUCCAGUUAGCGGUUUGUUGAACAGGUAUUCUCGAUCAGUCCUGAAUAAAUUAUUGAAAGCAUUUAUUGGUCUAUUAUAUUUCAAGAAACGUUUACUAAACGUUGAGGAAAGGAAGCUGUAUUCCCAUAAGGAAUAUAUAUAUAUAUAUAUAUUGAAGAUAGAUACGUGCACAUACACCAAGACGAAGAAUCUUUGCAAAUAUUAUAGGCAUGACUUGGAUAUUUAUUGUAUAUACUCGUACAUAUACGUAUAUUUAAUCAAAGCGAUAAGACUUAAUUUCAUACGUGUGUGGGUAGUCAUUAUCAUCAUAUUCUUGCUUAUCGACUUAGCACAAGAGGUUGACUACUCUAUUUCGUUGUAUAGAUUACUUCCCGCCAAAAUCUAAUCGCGAAUGAGAGUGAGUGAACGAGAUAGAGAUAGACGGAGAUAAAAAAAUAGAGAAGGAAUAUUGGGACGUAAAUAACACCAGAAGAAACCAAAGAAACCGUAAUGAUGAUGAAACUGUUAUAGCUACUGUCAUAUGAUUCCACCAUGGGAAUUUAGAAACCGGAUCGAGCAAAGCAACCUAGUCUCUCACAUAGCAACAAGGAAACCUCUUAAAGAAUUUCCAUCAUGGUUUCUCUAUGUCCGAGUCCGUAAUUCUAUGUAGAGUUCAGUUGAGUUGGGAAAAGUUAUGUCCUCGUUCUAUAGUUCAACAUUAUAUGUCGUUAUAGACCACCGCCAAGAAUAUUUUCCUGAAUAUAUAUUUCUUCCUCUUACAAACGAUUUUAAAUUAUAUUUAUCAAAUUCAAAGUAAUAAAAAUAUAUCAUUAUUACAAUAUU